UGGGGAAUAUUGGACAAUGGGCGAAAGCCUGAUCCAGCCAUGCCGCGUGUGUGAAGAAGGUCUUCGGAUUGUAAAGCACUUUAAGUUGGGAGGAAGGGCAUUAACCUAAUACGUUAGUGUUUUGACGUUACCGACAGAAUAAGCACCGGCUAACUCUGUGCCAGCAGCCGCGGUAAUACAGAGGGUGCAAGCGUUAAUCGGAAUUACUGGGCGUAAAGCGUGCGUAGGUGGUUUGUUAAGUUGGAUGUGAAAUCCCCGGGCUCAACCUGGGAACUGCAUUCAAAACUGACUGACUAGAGUAUGGUAGAGGGUGGUGGAAUUUCCUGUGUAGCGGUGAAAUGCGUAGAUAUAGGAAGGAACACCAGUGGCGAAGGCGACCACCUGGACUAAUACUGACACUGAGGUGCGAAAGCGUGGGGAGCAAACA
rnacentral:rRNA from 1 species